rnacentral:sRNA from 1 species
UACCAAACCCGAUCGAAGUGGUUCCGGUCUACCGGAAGUAACGGAGAGCGGGACUGAAG